GACGCUACGGACUUAAAAUCCGUUGGCUUAAGUGACCGUGAGGGUUCAAGUCCCUCUUCCCCCA
rnacentral:tRNA from 1 species